rnacentral:rRNA from 1 species
UACGUAGGCAGCAAGCGUUGUUCGGAGUUACUGGGCGUAAAGGGUGUGUAGGCGGUUCUUUAAGUUUGCUGUGAAAUACUCCCGGCUUAACCGGGAGGUGCGGUGAAUGACUGAGGGACGUAGAGUACGGGAGAGGAAAGGUGGAAUUCCUGGAUGUGAGCGGGUGGAAAUACGGUAGAUAUCAGGAGGAACACCGGUGGUGUAGACGGCUUUCUGGACCGACACUGACGCUGAGACACGAAAGCGUGGGUAGCAAACAGG